UCCUGGCCACCUCAACCCAAAGGUAGACAAGUCGAAGGAUGUCUUACCAAGGUCACCUCAACCCAAAGGUAGACAAGUCGAAGGAUGCCUUCUUCUGACCAUCUCAACCCAAAGGUAGACAAGUCGAAGGAUGUCUUUUGACCACCUCAACCCAAAGGUAGACAAGUCGAAGGAUGUCUUGUCAAGGUCACCUCAACCAAACGGUAGAUGACUGGAGGGAUGUCUUCUGGUCAUGACCUGACCUUGACCUUAAAAUUAAAGAAUUAUUUGGCAGGAUGAGGAAGUGGAUGAGAAUCGCCUUCCUGUGUUGCAGCAGAUGAACAGAAAGAAGAGCCAGCAAAGAUUUGACAAGACUUUCAACCAGAAUCUGAAAAGGCACACAGUUCUGUCAAUCUGCUAUCAGAAUAAAUAAGUGUGCUUACUUCUUCCCCAACUUCCAAACUGAGACAAAAGUGGGUUAUUGUACAAAAAGCAAAAGACAUUGGCAGAGAGAAGAAGAAAAUAAAAAGGAAGAUAAUUCACUGCAAGUCAAAGGUUAAAGGUAAAGGAAAGGGCAAAGGCAAGUUGAAAGGUCAAUCAAAGAAGAAUGAAGGUAAGCCUUCUAAGUUAAUUAUUAGGCAUGUUAUUGAGCUAUCAGAGAGUAGCUCAAGUGAGAAUAACUAAAGGUACAGUUCAGCUGGUGUUGCUAUUCCGGUGAGGAGAGACGAUUCAGAAUAAUUUCUGUGUCUGGUAUCAGGAAGAUUGAGCCAAAGCAUCGAUGGAGAUAUCAAUGAGACUUUUGGACAGAAAGUGAAAUCUAAAGUUGACCACAUCAAGGGAGGAUUUGUAGGAUAGACUGAAAUCAGACAAAGGAAUGGAGAGGUAAACAGUCCUCCCAUCAGGUUGAUAAUGGAGUGUUUCCAAGAGAUUUACGGAAAUCAAAAACUAAAGCUCAAUCAAACUUUGUUGGGAUUAACAUCUCUGACAGAUUGAGUCAUAACUGAUAUAAAUAAACUGUGUGACCUGAUCUGUUUGUAUACAAGAAUUUUAGACCAAAUUAUGUUUUGUGAUUGUGUCUGGAUUGUUGUUGGACUGAGAUUCAUGAAAUUCUGUUAUUAUCUUAAUUAAAUAGGCUUUUUACUUGGCCUAAAUUAUCCAUCUGGAUGUAAUUAUUCAGGAAUGGGAUUUGUAUUGGACAUGUUCAGGUCAGACAAUUUAAAAUGUUUCAAUUUUUAAGUGUUUUGAUUUUGUUCACAAUAUUUUCAUCUCAAUCUGUCACAAAAAUUUUGUUUAAGAUGUUCAUUUUAGUUUGGCAAAGAAAUGAUGCAUCAACCAAAAUAUUAUUUUAUAAAAAUAAAACUUACAUUUAAAAAGUUCAUUGAUACUUUUUACUCUGUUAAAGUUGUAAAAAAUGUUUGUGUUCAAAA